GUCCUGGUUCCCCGCGCUGCGCGGCUUUAUCAACCUGUGCUCGGCUCUGGCGUAGAUAGGUUUACCCCAAGUCCCCAGGUCUACCAAUGAAAUGCGACCCCUGCUUCAUUUUCUUCUGGACUUGAGGUCAUUAUUUUCUGUGUGGAAACUAGAGAUUCAUUUGGCAGUUCAAGACCUGCGGAUGUGAACCAGGUCCCCAGGCGACUGGAAGACUCCAGGAUUUGGAGUCCAGAUAGGCGAUAAAAACAUUUUUGAGGAGCAAAAAAUGGUUCCAAGUGUGAGGACUAUGAACAGCAUCCAGAAGGACUGCGUGGAAAGUACCAGAGUUGGGGCCACCUUGAACAUCGUAUUGAUUUUACCCUAGGCUAAGUAGCCAGCUGAAAUUCUGAAAGUUUGUAGUGUCUUUGAAAGGCAAGCUACUUUCUGUUUGUAUUGGGAGAAAAGGAAAACUUCCAAAUGCAGUUUUGAAAAAACACAGAUGAUUAAUGUUCUCACCUCCUAACCCCAGGUUUCCCCAAAUGCGGCUUUUAUCUUCUUUAUCUGUUAUUACAAAACCAGUAUGUCCCUAUAACUUUAAAUUUUAUAUUGUUCUCAUUAUUUUUUAUUUUCAUUCCUUUUGUUUAUGGAGGAAAAAAGAAGAAAAAAAGCAUUUUCAUAUAAAAACAUUUGAAUAUAAUAUAACCAGAAAGAUAUUUUAAAGAAAUAGUUGGGACAAAAUCCUGAAGCUUAUUAUUUUGUUUUCACAUGAGUUCACAUAGCUUUCCACCCAUUUUAUCCUAUUUAUACAAUAAGUAGCCCAGGAAAGAGCUGUUUCUUUUUGGGGAAAUUUGCAUUUAAUAAUUAAACUGCUUUACUAAGGUAUGUGUAACAAUAAAGACAAGAAAAGCAGAGUUAGGGGGCUGUGUUUGUAGCUCCGUGAUAGAGCACUUGCUUAGUAUGUGUAAGGAACUGGGUUCAAUCCUCAGCACCACAUAAAAAUAAAUAAAAUAAAGGUAUUGUGUCUAUCUAAAACUAAAAGAAAGAAAGUAGUGUCAGACUGUUGCCAGUCUGUCCUUAAAAACUUCAUUUAAUAUAGAAAGCUGAAUGCUGGGGCUAGGGUUGUGGCUUGCCUAGCAUGUGUGAGGCACUGGGUUCGAUUCUCAGCACCACCUAUAAACAAAUAAAUAAAUAAAGGUCCAUUAAUAACUAACAAAUUUAAAAAAAAAAGAAAGCCGAAUGUAACAAGAAUGGUGGGAUAACUCCAAGAAAGUUGAGAGUUGAGUCUGUUGAGACAUUCCCUGUGACGUGGCCUCCCAUAACUCGAAACAUUCAGAAUGAAUCAUAAGUCCAGAAUGAAUCAAUCUCUGCAUCAAAAAUAUAGUUUAUCAGUAACUCAAUUUCAGAUGGUCUCACCAGAGAACAAGCCCUUUCCUUAUGUACCUGUAAGUGAUCCAGCCAGUCCAGCUAGCAUUUAUGAUGUUUUUCUUAGUUUAUAGUUCCUAAAAGUGCUGUUCUAAAUCUUCAAUAGUUCUAGAUUCUGAGUCCCACUUGUUGCAUAGAAUCUUGUUGUGCUAAGGCUGAAACAGGUCAUUGUCCAGUUUCAAAUUAGAGUCAUAUAUAAACAAUUUUUAUAUGUGAAUUCAAGAUCUCCAAAAAAUCAUGGUUUCAUUUAUUUGACAGGUACAAAGCCUAGACUGCUUAUCAGUUUUAGAGUCUAAAUUGACCCUCUCAAAAAUGUGUACAUUAGGAGCCUAGGAUGCACAAGACCCUGGGUUCAAUCCCCAGUAGUGGGCGAAAAAAAAAAGAAUGCACAGCUAAAUGCCCAUUAGCUGGUGAAUCGACCUGUCCAUCCACUGGAACAGUAUUCAGUCAUAUAAAGAAAAGGAAGUGAUGAAUCAUGCCACAACAUAGAGCAAAGUAUGGUGGUGCAGGCCUGUAAUUCCAGUGACUUAGGAGGCUGAGGGAGGAGGAUUGAAGUUUGAGGCUAACCUCAUCAACUUAGUGAGACCUUGUCUUAAAAAAAAAUGGUUAAAAGAACUUGGAUGUUUCUGGAGAAAUUUGCAUUUAAUAUUCAAACUGCAUUACUAAGGAAUGUAUGAGUCAGACUAUUGCCAGUCUGUCCUUACAAACUGGAUUCAAUCCCUAGUAUACGAUAGAUAGAUAGAUAGAUAGAUAGGGAAAGAAAGAGAGAGAGAGAGAGAAAACCAGGGGCUGGUGACAAGGAAGAGCUGCCAUUGUUUGUAGUGUUUCUUAUUCUGGUGUUAAAAUGUACUAGAGUAGGGUUGGGGGUGUGGCUCAGGACUCGCCAAGCAUGUGUGAGGCCCUGGGUUUGAUCCUCAGCACCUACAUAUAAAUAAAUAAAAUAAAGGUAUGGUGUCCACCUACAACUAAAA